rnacentral:misc_RNA from 1 species
AAAAACUUCGGCAAGAACGUGGAGCUUGUGUGUGAGACUUGUGUGCUAACUUAGACCACAAGCCCCCUCACGAGCCCUGUUUUUACGAACCCUGUGUGAACCGCAAUAUUUAUUCCAUCCACGUAACACGAAAUUUCUAGUCUAAAGUCUUCUUCAUAUCACGAGAAUAUGAUAAAAA